rnacentral:rRNA from 1 species
UACGAAGGGGGCUAGCGUUGCUCGGAAUCACUGGGCGUAAAGCGCACGUAGGCGGGUCCUUAAGUCAGGGGUGAAAUCCUGGAGCUCAACUCCAGAACUGCCCUUGAUACGGAGGAUCUCGAGUUCGGGAGAGGUGAGUGGAACUGCGAGUGUAGAGGUGAAAUUCGUAGAUAUUCGCAAGAACACCAGUGGCGAAGGCGGCUCACUGGCCCGAUACUGACGCUGAGGUGCGAAAGCGUGGGGAGCAAACAGG